CGCAUCAGUAACUGGUUGCUAUUAAUAUGCAGUGAAACAGUGAUAUAAAAAGAGAGAUGUUCCCACUCAUUUGGCAGAAUUUGCAUUACAGCUGGAUGAAAUUUAUAACACGUCUUCUGCAACCUACUGGUCUGAACUCCUGUUAUUAAUUUCUGCUGUGUUUAUUUCUCCUUUAUGUUCACUUUGGGCAAUAUUCUAUCAAGUUUCCUGGCAGGCACAACAGUAGAUAUAGCUAAUUUCAGCUGACUGCAGGAGGACUUUGUAGAAAGUGAAUUUUGAAUUAGCACUAGUAUUUGCAGCAAAAAUCUCCCCCUGAGAAGUCUAUUCCCCUCAGCCUAGCAUCAGCAGUGCUUAAGUUCAUGUGAAUAGCCCUAUUGACUUCAGGUGGGCAGCUGUUUAAUUACCUUCCUGAAUGGAGGCCAGGACCAGGAAACAAGCCCCCAGCAGACGACCUGGGUGCCUACUCAAAGUGCUUGUCUCCUGAAAGCCGAGCUCCCGUGAGUGACCCAUGGAUUGUUUGAGUAGAACGUGCUUAAGAAUCCUGCUGCCCCUGUGAUGGGCUUUAGCAGUGCUUGGAGGAGCUGGUGUGACCUGGAUGGCAGAAGCAUGUGCUGUUCUGCUGUACAAGAAAUCCCGUCUCAUGAGAAGGAGACGUCAGAGCUGCCCUUGGUGUAAAGCUGCUGGGUGUCCAGGAUUGAAGAAAGUGUGUGCUCGUGUUCCCCAGAAGCUGAGGUCACACUGUUCACAACAUACAGUCACUGCGAGUUCCAGCUGGGAGGUGCCCAUGACAGCUGGCCUUAAGGGAGGAAGGGGCAGCGGAGGACCCUCUUACCAAUAAAGCUGGACAGCGAUUAAGGAAGUGAUUAUCCCUCUGUAAUCGGCACCAGUGACACCACCUCAAGUGCAGCGCUCCGUUUUGGGCCCCUCACUUCAGGAAGAAUACUGGACUGCAUCCAGAGAAGAGCAUCAAAGCUGGCCGAAGGGAUUAGAAGACAAGACGUGAGGAACGGCUGAAGAAACCAGGGGCCGUUCAGUCUGCAGGAGGCUGAGGGGGAACCCCAUCGCUCUCUACAGCUGCCUGAGAGGAGGGCACGGCAAGGGAAUGGAGGCAUGGAGAGAUCAGUGACUUGUCCAGCAAUACUCUCCAAAAAGGGGUCCCAGUGCUCUACACACAGGACCUGUCUUCGGAUAGUAUUUACCAUUUUGCCUUGUAGAAACAAAGCAUGGGACAACCAUGCUGGUUGACAGGGCACCAACUGCAGACUUUCAUUCCAGCAACUCAGAGACUCAAGUUAGAAAGGAUUUCAAGUUUCACCCCUACUGAAUUGAAAAAAGACCACGUCUAACCUGGUAUCAACAAGAAGUUGUGAUGGCACAGAAAAUCCUAACAGGGAGCACCUGAACACAGGAAAAAAGCCCCACUUCUCUUUGAAAAGAUGAAUCCACGAAGUAAAUCUUGUCCCAGCAGAAGAUGUGUCAUGGGAACAGCAGAAGGCAAAAUGUGUCAUGGGAAAAUCUUGCUGCAUACAACCCAGGAUGAGAAUGUGCAAACUGAUGCAAAAUCAAAUGCAAUCGAACAAGGUAACACAUAUACCAACACGGAAGAAAAUGCACAGCGCACUCACAAAAAAAGAAUUUUAAAUUCAAGGGGUUCUGAGGACAUCUAAGCAGUCCCCAGUGACUAUAUUUUGCCAGGAAUAUGGAGGUUUCCCAAAAAAGGAUGCAGGAAGAUGCUGCAGAAAUGAAAUGAGGAGUAAAUGAACUAUAAGGGCCGGUCAGUUACUGAACUAAAUGGAAGAUGUCUAACCUCACCCCAAUACGUAAAGACAAAGCAGGUACUAAGUGAUUAUUAUAUAGUUUGUCUGCUACUAAAAAGUCAUCCUGGAGUUCCUCUCUACGAUAGCAUCUUUCCUUCUUCAGCCCACUCUGCAGGCAGUGAUUUUCAAGGCUUGCAAGGCUUGCUGGUUUGCAGUUACAAAGUAGGUGCAUUUCAAGUGAAAAUCUUGGUGGGCCCGCCCAACAGCAGCCAGAAAAGCAAGAUGUCUCUUCAGAACAUGGGACACCUGUGAUUAUGGGGGAUUACGGAGAAUGACAGACAAAAACAAAGACAAGUACAGGCGGUGCAAGAAAAAUGUGACCUAGUCUUGAGUCCAGAAACUGUUCAGCAUCCCUCUGCCUUCUGCUAGCUGUGAGAUGGUUUGGAGAUUUCUAAAAUUCUUAUUCCAUGUGCCCCACUCCAGCUGCAGGAGCAAAGAGCCAUUUCCAGCUACUUAGAAACCUGGUAUAGCAGGAAAAAUAAAUCAUGUUUUGGGGCUGUUAUUCUCUACAGAAAACAAGUGGCCUAAUCCUGCAGCUACAGUCACGACUGGACUCAGCACAAGCAAAGGAGUUAGGCUGGAAGCACGUGCUGAGGGAGGUGAUGAGGAUCUGGCUCUCACAGCUGCCUUUGCAAAGGGUCAAGACAAUCUCACACAGGGCACAACUCUGUUAGUUUUGUUCUGGUCUUUUUUUUUUUUUUUUUAAGAGCAUUAGCUCUUUUCUGAAAAUGAUAUUCUGCUAUGUGUGAGAAAUGAGAACAGGCCAGUCUAAAGGGAAAGAGUACAAUGCAUCGGCUACAAGCCUAAAUAAAUACCAAGGUCUGAAGAUGCCUGGCUCGAUUUUGUUUUAUGGAGUUUUAUUUCACAAAUCUUUCCCUUUCAUUCUUAACCAUUCACAGCUGCAAUACACUGAAUGAUAAUAAUAACAAAAAUGCAUUCACUGUUCAUAAUAAAAGUUUAUAUUUUUUGCAGAAAUGAUAUAAUUGGUGAUCAGGAUGUAUACUUCUAAAAGUUACUAGGGCUUUCUAAGUGUAAGCCUAGUCCCCACAUGCCCUCCAUUCAGUGGGAUGUGUUUGUUCAGCCUUGGUGGUGGGCUGAGAGGUGUUGUAGCAGAAAUGCUAAGUCACAGCUUAAACCAGUGAUGGAGCACCUGGUGGGAAGGCAGGGCCAAGCCAGGGGAGCUCAGGUGCACACAAUGCACCUGCGUGACCAGAAGGGGUGGAACCAGGAGCCACCCCUUCCCAGCCCUCAUUUAAGGGUUGGCAGUGGAGGUAAAGGUAUCUUGCUGGAGAUUCCUGCCUAUCUGAGGCCUUCUAUAGAGGUCUUCACGUGAGGACUGGAUGUGCUGGUGCCCAAAUUAUUUAGAAGCUAUUGCUGGGAGGAGGGAAGGAGGCAUGAAACACAGGAACCUCACUCCCUCAACAUGCAACCUGAGCUAUAAAGCUUUAGAUGCAGCUGAAGCAAAAAUCCCUCUUUCCCGGUCUGCAUCUGCCUGUCUGUGAAGAGGAAAAAGAAAAGGCAGCUGAUUUGCAAGUGCUUUCCUGCUAGAACUGUAGGCUUGAAAGCUCUGUCCUUGAUUAAAGUGGGGAAUGCAAUAGCACAUGCCAUUAACUACUACUGAUAAACCAAAGUAGUGAUGAAGUCAAAUAAAAAUCUCCUGCCACUGUGAUAAGAUCCUGGAAAAAAGAAAAACCCAGGAGCCUCCAGACUACUAGCAGUUCCCUUUUUUUGGGUGGAAUAUGUGUCUGAAUUACUCUGUCUCCAAACCUGGCGUAUACUCCAAGUAUGCGAUAUCUAUAGGUGCAGAUCAAGAGAGAUGAAGUUUAUCUACACAGACAGCAAGAAGCAGCUUACAGCCCCUUUAACAUGUGACCAGUCCCAAUUAUGGCUUCUUCCCCAUGACAUCAGUAUGCGAUGCAGGAUCUCACUUUUUUUUCUUGCCAGAGGCAAAUGAAUACAUUAUCCAGCAGUGAGGCGUGGGGCAAGCGGAUGCGUAACUCUGGGGUGAUUUGGAUUCCACGCUCGCACGGGGGUGUGAGCCAACCUCAGAAGUCAUUUUCACUGAUGCUGACACAUACGGCAUCCCUCAGAGAUCUGUCUAUCAAACUGCAACAUGCUAUGCAGAAAAAUUAGAUUACUCAUGCUACAAUAAAGAAGGGAAGACGACAGUGA